GAUGAACGCUAGCGGCAGGCCUAAUACAUGCAAGUCGAACGGUGUCUUCGGACAUAGUGGCGCACGGGAGCGUAACACGUAUGCAACCUACCUUACAUUGGGGGAUAGCCUUUCGAAAGGGAGAUUAAUACCGCAUAAGACAGUAGCUGGGCAUCCAGCAGCUGUUAAAGAUUUAUCGAUGUAAGCUGGGCAUGCGUCCAAUUAGCUAGUUGGUGAGGUAACGGCUCACCAAGGCAAUGAUUGGUAGGGGAACUGAGAGGUCAAUCCCCCACACUGGCACGGGGAUACGGGCCAGACUCCUACGGGAGGCAGCAGUAGGGAAUAUUGGGCAAUGGACGCAAGUCUGACCCAGCCAUGCCGCGUGCAGGAUGAAGGCGUUAUGCGUUGUAAACUGCUUUUAUACAGGAAGAAACGACUCUUGCGAGGGGCAUUGACGGUACUGUAUGAAUAAGCACCGGCUAACUCCGUGCCAGCCGCCGCCGUAACAC
rnacentral:rRNA from 1 species